UGAUCAUGGCUCAGGAUGAACGCUGGCGGCGUGCUUAACACAUGCAAGUCGAGCGAAGCAAUUUAAGUGAAGUUUUCGGAUGGAUCUUAGAUUGACUGAGCGGCGGACGGGUGAGUAACGCGUGGAUAACCUGCCUCACACAGGGGGAUAACAGUUAGAAAUGACUGCUAAUACCGCAUAAGCGCACAGUACCGCAUGGUACGGUGUGAAAAACUCCGGUGGUAUGGGAUGGACCCGCG
rnacentral:rRNA from 1 species